rnacentral:rRNA from 1 species
AACGAACGCUGGCGGCGUGCUUAACACAUGCAAGUCGAACGCGAACGUCUUUUUCGGAAGACUAGUAGAGUGGCGCACGGGUGAGUAACGCGUAAGUAACCUACCCUCGCAUUCGGGAUAACCCACCGAAAGGUGUGCUAAUACCGGAUACGUCUAUUUUGAUAACUUUUUUAUAGAGAAAGGUGGCCUCUGAUUCAAGCUACUGUGCGGGGAGGGCUUGCGUACCAUUAGCUAGUUGGUAGGGUAACGGCCUACCAAGGCAACGAUGGUUAGCGGGUCUGAGAGGAUGAUCCGCCACACUGGAACUGGAACACGGACCAGACUCCUACGGGAGGCAGCAGUGAGGAAUAUUGCGCAAUGGGGGCAACCCUGACGCAGCGACGCCGCGUGGAUGAUGAAGGCCUUCGGGUUGUAAAUCCUGUCAGAUGGGAAGAAGUGC